CCUACGGGAGGCAGCAGUGAGGAAUAUUGGUCAAUGGACGAGAGUCUGAACCAGCCAAGUAGCGUGAAGGAUGACUGCCCUAUGGGUUGUAAACUUCUUUUAUAUGGGAAUAAAAUGUUCCACGUGUGGGGUUUUGUAUGUACCAUAUGAAUAAGGAUCGGCUAACUCCGUGCCAGCAGCCGCGGUAAUAUGGAGGAUCCGAGCGUUAUCCGGGUUUAUUGGGUUUAAAGGGAGCGUAGGUGGAUUGUUAAGUCAGUUGUGAAAGUUUGCGGCUCAACCGUAAAAUUGCAGUUGAAACUGGCAGUCUUGAGUGCAGUAGAGGUGGGCGGAAUUCGUGGUGUAGCGGUGAAAUGCUUAGAUAUACCGAAGAACACCGGUGGCGAAGGCAGUUCACUGGACUGCAACUGACGCUGAGGCUCGAAAGUGUGGGUAUCAAACAGGAUUAGAUACCCGGGUAGUC
rnacentral:rRNA from 1 species